rnacentral:rRNA from 1 species
CCUACGGGAGGCAGCAGUGGGGAAUUUUCCGCAAUGGGCGAAAGCCUGACGGAGCAACGCCGCGUGAGGGAUGAAGGCCUCUGGGCUGUAAACCUCUUUUAUCAAGGAAGAAGAUCUGACGGUACUUGAUGAAUAAGCCACGGCUAAUUCCGUGCCAGCAGCCGCGGUAAUACGGGAGUGGCAAGCGUUAUCCGGAAUUAUUGGGCGUAAAGCGUCCGCAGGCGGUCUUGUAAGUCUGUCGUUAAAGCGUGGAGCUCAACUCCAUUUCGGCGGUGGAAACUACAAGACUAGAGUGUGGUAGGGGCAGAGGGAAUUCCCGGUGUAGCGGUGAAAUGCGUAGAUAUCGGGAAGAACACCAGUGGCGAAGGCGCUCUGCUGGGCCAUAACUGACGCUCAUGGACGAAAGCUAGGGGAGCGAAAGGGAUUAGAUACCCCUGUAGUCCUAGCCGUAAACGAUGAACACUAGGUGUCGGGGGAAUCGACCCCCUCGGUGUCGUAGCUAACGCGUUAAGUGUUCCGCCUGGGGAGUACGCACGCAAGUGUGAACUCAAAUGAAUUGACGG